rnacentral:ncRNA from 1 species
GAACGCCGUGUGAGGGGAAACUCUCACGCACGGUGUGGACCGGGGGAAAAGGGGGAGGUAGUAACCCUGAUAAAGGGUGAAACCAAACCCUUACCUAUCGGCU